rnacentral:rRNA from 1 species
AACGCUAGCUACAGGCUUAACACAUGCAAGUCGAGGGGCAGCAUUGGAGUAGCAAUACUUCAGAUGGCGACCGGCGCACGGGUGAGUAACACGUAUCCAACCUGCCGCUUACUCGGGGAUAGCCUUUCGAAAGAAAGAUUAAUACCCGAUGGUAUAAAGAGUUCGCAUGUUCUCUUUAUUAAAGAAUUUCGGUAAGCGAUGGGGAUGCGUUCCAUUAGAUUGUUGGCGGGGUAACGGCCCACCAAGUCUACGAUGGAUAGGGGUUCUGAGAGGAAGGUCCCCCACAUUGGAACUGAGACACGGUCCAAACUCCUACGGGAGGCAGCAGUGAGGAAUAUUGGUCAAUGGACGAGAGUCUGAACCAGCCAAGUAGCGUGAAGGAUGACUGCCCUAUGGGUUGUAAACUUCUUUUAUAAGGGAAUAAAGUGAGGGACGUGUCCCUUUUUGUAUGUACCUUAUGAAUAAGGAUCGGCUAACUCCGUGCCAGCAGCCGCGGUAAUACGGAGGAUCCGAGCGUUAUCCGGAUUUAUUGGGUUUAAAGGGUGCGUAGGUGGUUUGAUAAGUCAGCGGUGAAAGUUUGCAGCUUAACUGUAAAAAUGCCGUUGAAACUGUCGGACUUGAGUGUAAAUGAGGUAGGCGGAAUGCGUGGUGUAGCGGUGAAAUGCAUAGAUAUCACGAAGAACUCCGAUUG